ACACACACACACACACACACACACACACGCGCGCGCAAGCACGCACGCACGCAAGCAGCUCAGCUAGUUGCUGCUGCACUGGUGGAGUUAAGAGACAGGAAAAAGCCCAGGCUGAGUUGGGGGCAGGGAGAGAGAAAGAGAGGGAGAGAGGGAGAGCUGCCUCCUGUGUCCUGGUAAAAUGGCAGAAGAGAGGUCAGGGUGGCUAGCCCUCUACCAUCAGGAUCUGAAUGGAAGCUCAGCUCGAAGAGGAGCUAGACCACAUCUCGUUUUUGUAAGAAGGUUGCUUAUACUCAAUGCCUCAGAAUCUUCCUUUACAAAAUGCAAAUUAUAUACUUCACCUGAAAGUACUCCCUGAAUAAAUCACUGGCAGGAGAAUCUUCACCUCAGCCUCUGCUUCUGAGGAACCCAACUAU